rnacentral:rRNA from 1 species
GCAAAGGUGCCUUUGGCUCCCGGAUGUUAGCGGCGGACGGGUGAGUAACACGUGGGUAACCUGCCUGUAAGACUGGGAUAACUCCGGGAAACCGGAGCUAAUACCGGAUAGUUCCUUGAACCGCAUGGUUCAAGGAUGAAAGACGGUUUCGGCUGUCACUUACAGAUGGACCCGCGGCGCAUUAGCUAGUUGGUGAGGUAACGGCUCACCAAGGCGACGAUGCGUAGCCGACCUGAGAGGGUGAUCGGCCACACUGGGACUGAGACACGGCCCAGACUCCUACGGGAGGCAGCAGUAGGGAAUCUUCCGCAAUGGACGAAAGUCUGACGGAGCAACGCCGCGUGAGUGAUGAAGGUUUUCGGAUCGUAAAGCUCUGUUGUUAGGGAAGAACAAGUGCAAGAGUAACUGCUUGCACCUUGACGGUACCUAACCAGAAAGCCACGGCUAACUACGUGCCAGCAGCCGCGGUAAUACGUAGGUGGCAAGCGUUGUCCGGAAUUAUUGGGCGUAAAGGGCUCGCAGGCGGUUUCUUAAGUCUGAUGUGAAAGCCCCCGGCUCAACCGGGGAGGGUCAUUGGAAACUGGGAAACUUGAGUGCAGAAGAGGAGAGUGGAAUUCCACGUGUAGCGGUGAAAUGCGUAGAGAUGUGGAGGAACACCAGUGGCGAAGGCGACUCUCUGGUCUGUAACUGACGCUGAGGAGCGAAAGCGUGGGGGAGCGAACAGGAUUAGAUACCCUGGUAGUCCACGCCGUAAACGAUGAGUGCUAAGUGUUAGGGGGUUUCCCGCCCCCCUUAAUUGCUGCAGCUAACGCAUUAAGCCACUCCGCCC